rnacentral:rRNA from 1 species
GACGAACGCUGGCGGCGUGCUUAACACAUGCAAGUCGAACGAAGUGGCGAACGGGUGAGUAAUACGUGGGUAACCUGCCCUCCUUUUUUGGCUAAGCCUUGGGAACGGGGUCUACUACCGAAUAAAGGGGGAUGGGCUCGGGGCCUAUCAGCUUGUUGGUGGGGUGAUGGCCUACCAAGGCGGUGACGGGUAGCCGGCCUGGGAGGGUGACCGGCGACAUUGGGACUGAGAUAGGGCCCAGAGUGCUACGGGAGGGAGCAGUGUGGGGGAUUGGACAAAGGGCGAAAGCCUGAUGCAGCGACGCAGCAAGGGGGAUGAAGGCUUUCGGGUUGUAAACCUCUUUCGCGAACGAACGGGUAGGUGGAGAAGAAGCGCCGGCUAACUACGUGCCAGCAGCCGGGGUAAUAC